AGAGUCCUGGGGCUUCUCCCACCAACAGCUUGACGAGAAGGAAGGAAUGGGUCAGGUUAGGUUAGGUUAGUAAGGAAGACAGGCCCCCAAUAUAAGUAACCUAACUGAAUCUAACCUAAUAUAUCAGAAUAAGGUAGGAUAUAAGAGGUUGGUUGGAGUGACUCGCAGAUGUACGCACCUCUGAAAAAGACGAGAGAAAGUCCUCAUUAGUUCGGCUCAAAAUUUGUACUUUAUUCAUGUUUUUUUUGCUUAUUUUCAUUUUAUCAAGCAGUAUAUGUCAAGGUUCUGGCUGUCACAGUACAUCACGUCUGGCCAGCCCAUACAUGUGGAAUACAAUCAAUAAUAUACACAAGAUUGCUUUAUAACACACAAACACACAUACAGUAACUAUAUUGAUAAUUAAUUUGCAAGCAGGCAGGCAGAUACUUCACAAUUAACAUUAAUUCAUACACACACACACACACACACACACACACUCACAGUAUCCACAAGUAUAACUGACUACAUUGAUCAUUUUAACUGGUAGGCAGACAGACAGACAGACAGACAGACAGACAGACAGGAGGAGGAGGAGGAGAACAAAUGCUGAUAAUUAUUCCUGAUUACACAAGGAUGACAUAGGAAGGAUGACUGGACACUAUUGUACCUCAGAAGGGUGACUAAGAGGGGGUCAGGUGGAGGUCUUCAAGUGGUACAGGGGACACAACAAGGGUGACUAAGAGGGGGUCUGGUGGAGGUCUUCAAGUGGUACAGGGGACACAACAAGGGUGACUAAGAGGGGGUCAGGUGGAGACCAAGUGGUACAGGGGACACAACAAGGGUGACUAAGAGGGGGUCUGGUGGAGGUCUUCAAGUGGUACAGGGGACAUGACAAGGGUGACUAAGAGGGGGUCUGGUGGAGGUCUUCAAGUGGUACAGGGGACACAACAAGGGUGACUAAGAGGGGGUCUGGUGGAGGUCUUCAAGUGGUACAGGGGACACAACAAGGGUGACUAAGAGGGGGUCUGGUGGAGGUCUUCAAGUGGUACAGGGGACACAACAAGGGUGACUAAGAGGGGGUCUGGUGGAGGUCUUCAAGUGGUACAGGGGACACAACAAGGGUGACUAAGAGGGGGUCUGGUGGAGGUCUUCAAGUGGUACAGGGGACACAACAAGGGUGACUAAGAGGGGGUCUGGUGGAGGUCUUCAAGUGGUACAGGGGACAUGACGAGUAACAAAAUCUCUCUCUCUCUCUCUCUCUCUCUCUCUCUCUCUCUCUCUCUCUCUCUCUCUCACACACACACACACACACACAA